rfam:Oryza sativa Japonica Group DNA, chromosome 3, cultivar: Nipponbare, complete sequence.
AAAAAGAUAAACCAUGGAUUUCCGUAUCUAACUUUAAAUGUCCGUCUUAUAUGAAAUUUUUUUAUAAUUCGUAUUUUCAUUGUUGUUAGAUGAUAAAACAUGAUUAAUAUUUUAUGCGUGACUUGUCUUUUUAAUUUUUUUCAUAAUUUUUUAAAUAAGACGGACGGUCAAAUGUUGGACACGGAAACCAGGGUUUGUCUUUUU